rnacentral:rRNA from 1 species
ACGGGUGAGUAAUACAUCGGAACGUGCCCUGUAGUGGGGGAUAACUAGUCGAAAGAUUAGCUAAUACCGCAUACGACCUGAGGGUGAAAGUGGGGGACCGCAAGGCCUCAUGCUAUAGGAGCGGCCGAUGUCUGAUUAGCUAGUUGGUGGGGUAAAGGCCCACCAAGGCGACGAUCAGUAGCUGGUCUGAGAGGACGAUCAGCCACACUGGGACUGAGACACGGCCCAGACUCCUACGGGAGGCAGCAGUGGGGAAUUUUGGACAAUGGGCGAAAGCCUGAUCCAGCAAUGCCGCGUGUGUGAAGAAGGCCUUCGGGUUGUAAAGCACUUUUGUCCGGAAAGAAAUGGCUCUGGUUAAUACCUGGGGUCGAUGACGGUACCGGAAGAAUAAGGACCGGCUAACUACGUGCCAGCAGCCGCGGUAAUACGUAGGGUCCAAGCGUUAAUCGGAAUUACUGGGCGUAAAGCGUGCGCAGGCGGUCGUGCAAGACCGAUGUGAAAUCCCCGAGCUUAACUUGGGAAUUGCAUUGGUGACUGCACGGCUAGAGUGUGUCAGAGGGGGGUAGAAUUCCACGUGU